GACGAACCGUGCUACCGUUAUUCGGAAUCACUGGGCUUAAAGCGCGUGUAGGCGGGACGGCACGUCGGUCGCUGAAAUCCCCCGGCUCAACCGGGGAACUGGCGCCGAUACGACCGCCCUCGAGGGACGUAGGGGGACCUGGAACUUCCGGUGGAGCGGUGAAAUGCGUUGAGAUCGGAAGGAACGCCCGUGGCGAAAGCGAGGUCCUGGACGUUUUCUGACGCUGAGACGCGAAAGCCAGGGGAGCGAACGGG
rnacentral:rRNA from 1 species